rnacentral:rRNA from 1 species
GACCUGCGGAAGGAUCAUUACCGAGUUUUCGAGCUCCGGCUCGACUCUCCCACCCUUUGUGAACGUACCUCUGUUGCUUUGGCGGCUCCGGCCGCCAAAGGACCUUCAAACUCCAGUCAGUAAACGCAGACGUCUGAUAAACAAGUUAAUAAACUAAAACUUUCAACAACGGAUCUCUUGGUUCUGGCAUCGAUGAAGAACGCAGCGAAAUGCGAUAAGUAAUGUGAAUUGCAGAAUUCAGUGAAUCAUCGAAUCUUUGAACGCACAUUGCGCCCCUUGGUAUUCCGGGGGGCAUGCCUGUUCGAGCGUCAUUACAACCCUCAAGCUCUGCUUGGAAUUGGGCACCGUCCUCACUGCGGACGCGCCUCAAAGACCUCGGCGGUGGCUGUUCAGCCCUCAAGCGUAGUAGAAUACACCUCGCUUUGGAGCGGUUGGCGUCGCCCGCCGGACGAACCUUCUGAACUUUUCUCAAGGUUGACCUCGGAUCAGGUAGGGAUACCCGCUGAACUUAAGCAUAUCAAUA